rnacentral:rRNA from 1 species
GACGAACGCUGGCGGCGUGCUUAACACAUGCAAGUCGAGCGGGAUCCAACCGGUGGCAACACCGGGGAAGAUCUAGCGGCGAACGGGUGAGUAACACGUGAGCAACCUGCCCCGAAGACUGGGAUAACACCGGGAAACCGGUGCUAAUACCGGAUGUCGUCAUUAGGCCGCAUGACCUGAUGAUGAAAGGAUUCAUCGCUUCGGGAGGGGCUCGCGGGCUAUCAGCUGUUGGUGGGGUAACGGCCUACCAAGGCGACGACGGCUAGCUGGUCUGAGAGGACGACCAGCCACACUGGGACUGAGACACGGCCCAGACUCCUACGGGAGGCAGCAGU